UACGUAGGGUGCGAGCGUUGUCCGGAAUUACUGGGCGUAAAGCGCGCGUAGGCGGGUUGGUAAGUCCGCUGUGAAAGCCCGGAGCUUAACUCCGGAGGGUCGGUGGAUACUGCCAGUCUUGAAGGUGCUAGGGGGAGAUGGAAUUACCGGUGUAGCGGUGAAAUGCGUAGAUAUCGGUAGGAACACCAGUGGCGAAGGCGGUCUCCUGGGGCAUUCUUGACGCUGAGGCGCGAAAGCUGGGGGAGCAAACGGG
rnacentral:rRNA from 1 species